AAAACAUGUCCGUUUGAAGAUGUAAACGGUCUGGCCUGCUCACUGAUAAAAUUAUUUAAGAGCCGCGGUAUAUUGACCGUGCAAAGGUAGCAUAAUCAUUAGGGGUUUAAUUGGAACCUGGAAUGAAGGGUUGGACAAAGGAGAAACUGUCUCUAUAAUGAAGGUUGAAAUUUACUUUUAAGUGAAAAGGCUUAAAUAUUUUAAGGGGACGAUAAGACCCUAUAAAGCUUUAUAAAUAAUUUAAAUUUAGUUAAGUUGAACGAUAAAAAUUAAAUUUGAUUAUUUUAUUUUGUUGGGGUGAUAUGAGUAUAAUUAUUGUUAACUGCUUAAGGAUAACUCUAUAAAUAGUAGAAUUGGUAAAUUAAAUGAUCCUUUUUAAAGAUUAGAAGACUAAGUUACUUUAGGGAUAACAGCGUUAUUUCUCUUGAGAGUCCAUAUCGAAAGAGAAGAUUGCGACCUCGAUGUUGAAUUAAAAUAUCUAUAUAAUGCAGCAGUUAUAUGAGAGGGUCUGUUCGACCUUUAAAUUUUUACYUGA
rnacentral:rRNA from 1 species